rnacentral:rRNA from 1 species
CCAGAGAACUUUCCAGAGAUGGAUUGGUGCCUUCGGGAACUCUGAGACAGGUGCUGCAUGGCUGUCGUCAGCUCGUGUUGUGAAAUGUUGGGUUAAGUCCCGCAACGAGCGCAACCCUUAUCCUUUGUUGCCAGCGGUUAGGCCGGGAACUCAAAGGAGACUGCCAGUGAUAAACUGGAGGAAGGUGGGGAUGACGUCAAGUCAUCAUGGCCCUUACGAGUAGGGCUACACACGUGCUACAAUGGCGCAUACAAAGAGAAGCGACCUCGCGAGAGCAAGCGGACCUCAUAAAGUGCGUCGUAGUCCGGAUUGGAGUCUGCAACUCGACUCCAUGAAGUCGGAAUCGCUAGUAAUCGUGGAUCAGAAUGUCACGGUGAAUACGUUCCCGGGCCUUGUACACACCGCCCGUCACACCAUGGGAGUGGGUUGCAAAAGAAGUAGGUAGCUUAACCUUCGGGAGGGCGCUUACCACUUUGUGAUUCAUGACUGGGGUGAAGUCGUAACAAGGUAGGCGUAGUGCU